AUGAACGCUAGCGGGAGGCCUAACACAUGCAAGCCGAACGGUAGAAAGUAGCUUGCUACUUUUGAGAGCGGCGUACGGGUGCGUAACACGUGUGCAACCUGCCUUUAUCUGGAGAAUAGCCUUUCGAAAGGAAGAUUAAUGCUCCAUAACAUAUUGAAUGGCAUCAUUUAAUAUUGAAAGCUCCGGCGGAUAGAGAUGGGCACGCGCAAGAUUAGUUAGUUGGUGAGGUAACGGCUCACCAAGGCGAUGAUCUUUAGGGGGCCUGAGAGGGUGAUCCCCCACACUGGUACUGAGACACGGACCAGACUCCUACGGGAGGCAGCAGUGAGGAAUAUUGGACAAUGGGUGAAAGCCUGAUCCAGCCAUCCCGCGUGAAGGAUGACGGCCCUAUGGGUUGUAAACUUCUUUUGUAUAGGGAUAAACCUACCCUCGUGAGGGUAGCUGAAGGUACUAUACGAAUAAACACCGGCUAACUCCGUGCCAGCCGCCGCGGUAA
rnacentral:rRNA from 1 species